AAAAAAAUAGUUCAGUUUUUUUAUCAUUUUCCAAGUAAUAAAAUGCAUCUGUUUUUCACUUGUUCCACGUGGGGUUUUCCCAGAUGCCUGCUGUACCUUUUCACUUGGAAAUUACAGCCGUGGUAAAUUCAAGUCUUUGUUCAGAUUUUCAUUUGAAAGAAUCAGAAAAUCCUGUCAGCUUAACAACUGUAAAGGAGUAAUUACUUAGACAAUGUAGUGCCUUGGGAGAAGUUGGAAUCUUUUGGACCAGGGAGGCUGUGGACAAAAGGUAGCUGGGCUCCAGCCCAGGACAUGGCAGGCAGGUCAGAACUUGAGGAGCAUUAGGGGUGUAAAUCUUGCAGUCAAUGCACAAAAUAUUUUCUAAUAUUUUUGUCCUGCACAGCUGGCAGAAAUGAACCUUUUACUUUGAUUAUAUUCAGUGCUAAGUGGAAUAGUAAGCUGAGUGAGGGUGGUAGACUAGAAUAAACAGUCUGGCUGAGGUAGAAGGGGAAGAGAAAUCUGCAGAUCACGGGCACAGCAUUUAUUUUAGCACCCUAAACCCGUCUCUUGACAGCCAGCGGGUUUUCUGUGAUGAUUAUUAAACAAGAGGCAAACAGUUCAUUGUAUUUCUGUAGCCAGUGAAGAAGAAUCACUCCAGACAGAGGCAUUACUUCCCCCUGCUGUUACUUUGUGUAAGGGCAAGAGUUGCUCUGGAAAACAGAAAAUCCCACACCGCAGCUUGGUAGCUGACACAGCACACUUCAGACAUGGUCCUGGUGCACCCCUGUUCCUCUCCAGUGAUUCCUUGGCACUGUGUGAGUGGGACAGACCAUGCACCACAAGAGUGCAAUGACUGGUGGCAACUGGAAAAUGGCAAACUUGUUUGCAGGAAUAUUGGUAAAGAAAUAAAUGUGGAAUUUUUAAAAAAUAUUUUUUUAAGUGCUCCAAGGGCAAAUUAAUUCUCCUAAUAAAUUCAGCAGUAAGCAUGGGAAAAUGGGACACAAGAGCUUAUAUCCUUUAAAACACAAAUGUACAUUUAAAGCUGAGGAAAUAGAAAAUUCUAUAAUAAAAUGAAAAAAAUGUGAAAUGAAAUUAAACCUCUGAUUUUUCUUGCAGUGACAGUAGAAGUUCAGGUUUGGGAAACUGGGUUAGAUGGAAGGAGGCUGAGCAGUAGCUCUUGUGUCUUGGAUGAGGGCAGGUAGCAAAAUGUGCUGUUACUAUUGUGAUUAAGAACUCUCCUAAAUAGGAACUUAAUAAGGGAUUCCCUCUUUUCACAGAAAAUUUUAGGAUAUAGAGCUGCAGCAUAGCAAUCAAAUGUGAAAGAAGAUUGUGCAGCUGACAGGUAGUCAGAGCAACAGAGCUGCAGGAAUCUGCUCUCAUGAAAAAAAUCAUCUGGUGAUUAUUUUUCAUCAUUGAUGUGAACAAAUCAUCUCCUUGAUUUGUUCACCAAAUCAGGAAUUCUUGGAAUUGAUGGUUUGUACUUUAGCAGUGAUGUGUUGUUUUGAUUUUUUUUUUUUUUAAGGUUAAUUGUGUCUCUUUGACUGAGAUGAUUUAAUACCACAUUCAUUCACCAUCCGAUGGGCAGAAGCCUUUUCUUACAUUAAUUCUUUCAGGAAUCAGCUGUACUUCCAAAGAAAUGUAAAGAAUCUGUGAAUCAUAGAGAUGAGUUGGGCUGCUAAAGCACUCCAAUGCCAAUUUGCUUUUCUCAUCCCAUUAACUAAUAAUUUACAUGUGAAAUUCUCGUUGCAGAGGCCCCACUCCAGGAGUUCUCCUGUGUGGACUGGUAAAGAGCCUCCCUGAGUUUCCAUCGCUGCUCAAAGUGUGCAAGUCACAGAACUGAAUUUCUUGCCACCUUUUUUCAUUUAAUGCCUGAGCCGGAGCCUUUGGACAAAGCAGCUGGGUACCUGAGGGCUCCCUGAAUGGCUCCUUCUCAGCUGCUGGGCAGGGAACAAGGGUUUGGUGAUAUUCCUUGUCAGAAAGCCUGUCUGUGCAAGGAAAUUCUCUGCUUGUCUGAAAGGGAGAGAAAGGGCAGGCACUGAUGUCUCCUCUCCCUUCCAUCCCUUGUAGAUCAACAGGAACGGCUUCAAAUCCCAGUUCUUACUACUGCCUCUGCAAGCUGAGAAUCCUCUCAGAAGAGAAGUCCUCUCUCCAGGGAAAUUGCAGGAACAUCAACACAAAGCAACAGGAUAUACAGGCAGCUAAGCCCAGAAUGCCCCUGAUGAGAAAAGGGCAUUUGGAUCCCACAAGGAAGAACACAAGAGGGAGUGGCAGACUAGGAAUGAGGAUCCUGCUGCUAAGGGAAAUUGAUAUUGGCACUGACACCUUCACAAAAUGCUACCAAGGGUGAAAAUGAACCAUCAACAGCUAUGGGAAGGUGUAAGUAGCACUGGCUGCUAUGUUGAUAUGUAAAUGUGUAUCUUCCUGUAUCACCAUGAUGCAAAAUGUUUGAAGGAAAAAUUGUUAUUGCUACUGAGAAUAUCCUUAUCAACCUCUUUACACAAGUAAUAAAAACACUGCAAAAGCUAUGCUGGCCCAUUUCCUGCAAAUGCCAAUUUCUGUUUGUUGGUAGAGGUAGGCAAGAGAGCUUCUGACAAAUAUCUAAGUACAACAUGUUCAGCAGAGACUUUCACCUGCCUCUGACUUGCAGGCUGAGAAGUACAAAUCAUGUGUGACAUGUCUAGGGAGGAGGAAAUCAACCACCAGUCAUCAGCUGACAAAGCCACAGAACAAGAUGUUUAUUCCCAUUUUGGUUUCUUUGGUUACUGGUUUAUUUUUUUAGUAUGAGAGUUACUACUUUUGUAACAAUAAUGUUUGCUUAAUAAACUAAUUUGCUUCUUAGCAGCACAUUUUUCUCUAACAAAGACAUUUAUGUUCUGGAAUUUUUAUUUCCUCUUCUAAACACUGACAUUUCCCUUUAAACAUGAGGUUAUAUACCAAGAUAUUUACCUUCAGCUGUUUUGCAGACAUUUGAAGUUUUGCAGAACAACUUGUUUCAGCUAGAACAAAUAAGGGUUAUCCAUUUUACCUGGGGUUGUGUUGUUACAAUCUGUGUCAUUCUUCACCUGUGUCAAAGUGCUCCUCCAAAUCAUUUGCAUCUGGCAGCUAUUUUUUCCAUACAUAGGUUGAAGUCCAUGACUGAAGCUGCAAGAUAGUGCUUAUGCCACAUUUCACAAAAAUGUUUCAGAUGGAUAAAGACAAUACUCACACUGAAGUUCCUCCUGAAAGGGGAAAAAAAAAAAAUUUUACACAUGAUAUCUAAGCAUGUGAGGCAGAUGCCUGUAUAUUUAACUUUCCAAAACACAGAAGCCACUAAUGGGACACCCAGCCUUUCCAAACCCAGGCUGCACAAACCAUUCUGGGUUAACAGGAAUUAACAGUAAUUCUGGCAGCCAACACUGCCCUCCAGUGUGGGUUGUGUUAACUUCCUUCUGCAAUGGCUUCCUUCUUCAGGGUUAAUAAAUUGAUUCAGUGUGCAUUUCUGAAUGUGUCAUCCCAUGACUUCAUUUAACUUAAGAUAAAUGUUGAUUUUAUUUUAAGAAAAUAAUUUUAAAAGCUAUUGUUUAUCAGCUGUUACUCUCCUUUCUAUGUACUACUGCAAAAAUAAAAAGGA